CUGAGAUAUUCUCUACAGCCCUUGUGAACCUGGAAAUCCCACUUUGCACUUCCAAGGAGAUCAAUACUCAUCAUCACUACCACAAGUUAUUGAAAAUGCCACCUCAAAGAGAUUGUAAUGCUCAUCUGGAAGUUAAAGAAGUUUUACACCAGCUGCAAAAAGACAGAAAAUGCAAGGUAGAAUGUUAGGAGGAGUAUGGUGUACUGGUAACAGCUGAUUCAACAUCAAACCUUCCUGUUAUCACAUCACACAUUGAACAAGUUUGAACUGGCAAGGGUACUGUAUUCACCAGCUACAAAGGAUGGGAAAGGACCAUACACAGAAAAUUUGUAAAUCUAGGCAACAAGCUUCUUUUUAUAGGCUUGUGACAACACAAUUUGAAUACAGAAAACCUGAUCUUAUUGGAAAAAGUUAGUCUUUUCUUUUGAUCUUAAUCAGGAUAAAAGAAUACAUCUAAAAAUACAGACCUUUAUUUUUUUUUCCUGAGUUGCUGUGAUUGCCUAAUGUUAUUGACUUUUGUUUUCAAAUAAAUAACUUGCCACAAGAAAAGUGGAAGAAACAAUAAAACAGGUCUUUUCCUAGUCUCAACUCCCCUUGUUUUCACCACACAUUGUACUCAGUCCCACCUUGAUGAGGUCAGGUGGUGGUGCAGGAGGUUAAAGUCAGAACAUAGAGGUUUCCUUCUACUCCUCACUUCUUGUUUUCCUCUGCUGCUCCUUAUUUCUUACUGCUCCUCUGCUCCAGUGUAGACUACCCAUGGGCUGCAGUCCCUCUGAGACACCCCUGCUCCAGCAUGCAGGAAUGGCACAAAGUGGCUCAUGGUCUCUUCCCGUACAGAGCACCCUGCAGCCCUCAAUACUGAAGGCUUACAACAUUGUAAGCUAUUUUCAACUGGUUAAUAACCUCGUGCAAUCUAAUUACAUCAUUCUUUUGGGAGGAAAAGAAAAGCACAGGUUAGUUCUUUAUUGUAUUCUGGAACACUGAUGCUUUGAAAAUAUAAUUAACAAAACUUCUCAAGCAAAACCUAUUUGUUGGGUUGAAUUGAAAUAUGUUUAUAUCAUCUGUUUUUCUACAUAAAAUUCUUAUUUUAUAAUAACAUACAUUUUUCCUUCACACUACAGGUUACUGAAAUCCUUGGAAAGCAUUUUUAUGUCUAUCACCCUCAAAGAACUGGAGAAAAAAAUGCAUAAUUUAUAUGUGUAAGAACGCACCUGUUCUCACAAUCCUCUGUUUAAUAUAAGAGAAGACAAAAUUAUUUCUAUAUUCUUUGGGGUAUAUAAAUACUUUGAAGAGAACCGUGCAGAAGCAGGCAUGUUUUUUACUUAAGGCUGCAAGACUCUUAAAACCACACACAGAAUUUGGUUAGACUAAUUGAGGCAGACUUGCAGCACUGGAUUAAAAUCAAAGGCUUUAAACCGUUGCUGCCCCUGAGGGCCCUCCAUGCCCUCCUGAGCAGCGUUUCCUCCCUGGAGGCAAGGAUGUCUGAUUUGCUUGUGAAUAAGUAGUACCACUAUGGCCUUCAUCCUUUAUCUUAUGUUAAACUGACUCCAGUUUUGUUUAACUUCUGUAUAAUAGACUGGAAACUGAGGUGAUGCUGGAGAUGAUUUUUGAGUGGGUCAUGUGUACCUACCUCGGGGACAACUAUGCUUAUCAGUGGGAUGAGAAAGAUGAGUAGGGGUGGUAGGAGCUGCAGCUGAUUGUUUUACAUCUGCUACUUCAUGUUAAGAGCCCUAAGAGGAGGAAUAUCUUCUUUGAUUACUUUACUUCCCUUCAUAUUUCAUCCAUGUUCUUAAUUUCUCUAUUUACCACACAGUUAUUGCUGUUAUGUAACCUGGAGUAGAUCUUUGUAAUUGGAACAUUUGUUUGGUUUGUGAGGUAUUUAACACUUUCUGGCUCAAAACAAAAAAUAAUUGAAAUGUAAUGUAAUAAGAAAUUAAUACAAUAUCUGUAGUGGCAGACCUGAUUCUAAGUCGUGAUGUUAACAAUGAAAAUUUCUGAAAAGAAGCCUGAAGUAUAAUUCAGUAAAUUGUUGUGAACAAACUAGGGAUUUAAGUAGUGAGAAAAGUUAACAAAUACACAUGUGAAUUUUGUAUAAUGGCUAGUACAAUUUAUGACACCAGCCCCCCUCAAAUGCAUUUUGUACUUACAUCACCAUUAUGCAAGUUUAGCAGGUCACCAUACACAGGACACUGCACUUGGUUGCCUGCAUUCCAUAUAGUAUUAGUAACAUUUCCAACAUAGAACUUCUCUUUAUAAAGCAUGAACAGGCAGAAUAGAAUCUACCUGAUUCUCAAAAGACAGUACAGUCUGUGUUUCUAUAAUGCUGUGUAAUUCCUACUCAGAGCCACUCCUGAACAGUAAGGGUGAUUUAAUUAUCUAAACAGUAAUUAGGAAAUUAAAUGGAGUUGAAAGCUUACAUUCCUUUGAGGCUCGGGACUUGGCAAAUACGGAAAAAAGUCAAAUGCUUCUCUCCCUGAUCACAUCUGAAGGGGUAUGCAGUAGUGUAAAACUUCAGAAGAAAAGCUUUUUUUCCGCUCAAGAUAAUUAAGGGUGCAUAUUUCACUUCUGCUGAGAUGAAAAAAAAAAACCAAAACCAAAACCCAAAACAUAUUAAGUUUCAUCUAGAUGUAGGUAAGCUUGAAGACAGAAGCUAGUAAAAGGGAUUUCAACUUUUAUAAUCAUAAUUAAACACCAAAAUGUGGUUCACAAAUAACCUAAACUCCGGCUCCAUUAAAACCAGUUACUUAUCGGUGUACUGUACGUUGUAUCAUCUAAACUUGAAUUCUGUUUAUUUGCAGAACAGGAAGUAAGGAACAAUUAUAUUUAGGAAGAACCCUAAAUAGUUAGAACCAGAG